AACGAACGCUGGCGGCAGGCCUAACACAUGCAAGUCGAGCGGACCCUUCGGGGUUAGCGGCGGACGGGUGAGUAACGCGUGGGAACGUGCCCCUUGCUUCGGAAUAGCCCUGGGAAACUGGGAGUAAUACCGGAUACGCCCUUUUGGGGAAAGAUUUAUCGGCGAAGGAUCGGCCCGCGUUGGAUUAGGUAGUUGGUGGGGUAAUGGCCUACCAAGCCGACGAUCCAUAGCUGGUUUGAGAGGAUGAUCAGCCACACUGGGACUGAGACACGGCCCAGACUCCUACGGGAGGCAGCAGUGGGGAAUCUUAGACAAUGGGGGAAACCCUGAUCUAGCCAUGCCGCGUGAGCGAUGAAGGCCUUAGGGUUGUAAAGCUCUUUCACCGGGGAAGAUAAUGACGGUACCCGGAGAAGAAGCCCCGGCUAACUCCGUA
rnacentral:rRNA from 1 species